rnacentral:rRNA from 1 species
GACGAACGCUGGCGGCGCGCUUAACACAUGCAAGUCGAACGAAGCACUUAGACGGAAGUUUUCGGAUGGAAGAUUACGUGACUGAGUGGCGGACGGGUGAGUAACGCGUGGGCAACCUGCCUCAUACAGGGGGAUAACAGUUAGAAAUAGCUGCUAAUACCGUAUAAGCUUACGGUACCGCAUGGUACAGUAAGAAAAACUCCGGUGGUAUGAGAUGGGCCCGCGUCUGAUUAGCUAGUUGGUAAGGUAACGGCUUACCAAGGCGACGAUCAGUAGCCGACCUGAGAGGGUGACCGACCACAUUGGGACUGAGACACGGCCCAAACUCCUACGGGAGGCAGCAGUGGGGAAUAUUGCACAAUGGGGGAAACCCUGAUGCAGCGACGCCGCGUGAAGGAAGAAGUAUUUCGGUAUGUAAACUUCUAUCAGCAGGGAAGAAAAUGACGGUACCUGACCAAGAAGCCCCGGCUAAUUACGUGCCAGCCGCCGCCGUAACAC